AGAGUGCGGUUGGCUGGGCAGGCACAGAGUUAACAACCAACAGAGCAGCCGCCAGGUUGACAUCAGGAAGAAGAUGCCAGGAGCACAGAUGGUCCACAACCCAGCUAAUUAACUUCUGAAGAAGAAACAACAUCUAAUACAUCUUCUGUGAACAUAGAGUUUGGUUGGGCACAGUUGGGGCAGAGAACAAGCAGACCUCCUCAGCAACUCUUUUUUACCUCCUAAAAUGGUGGAGGGGGCCGGGCCCAUGGCCGUGCGGUUAGGUUUGCCUGCUCCUCUUCAGUGGCCCAGGGUUUCGCCGGUUCAGAUCCUGGGCAUGGACAUUGCACUGCUCAUCAAGCCAUGCUGAGUCGGCGUCCCAUAUGCCACAACUAGAAGGACCCACAACUACAAUAUACAACUAUGUACUGGGGGGAUUUGGAGAGAAAAAGCAGAAAAAAAAAAUGGUGGAGCACUCACCCACUUCCUAUGGAUAACCACCUACUCACAAGACCUGCAGAGAAGAAUUCCAAAUAAAUAUGGUAAACACUCUACCCUAAAGGAGGGGGAGCAUAACUCCUCACUCCUUAAGUAUGGGAUGCACAUAGUCACUUCCUUCCAAAAAGGACAGGAUGGAAAGAGUGUAACUUUACAGUGGAGAAACCUGAUAAACACUACUUCUGCCAGGUGAUGAAGCUCAACACCAAUAGUCAAAUUAUGCUAAUAGUAUGUACUCUUGAUAGGAUGUGAUGAAAAUGGCACUUGACCUCUGUGAUCUUCCUCCCCAAAACCCAUAACCCCAGUCUGAUCAUGAGAAAACCAUCAGACCAAUUCCAAUAGAGGGGCAUCCUACAGUAUACCUGAUGAGUAUUCCUCAAAACUCUCAAGGUCAUCAAAAACAGGGAACACCUGAGAAGCUGUCACAGCCAAGAGUAGCCCAAGGAGACAUGGCAACUAUGUAAUAUGGUAUCCUGGAUGGGAUCUUAGAAUAGAAAGAGGACAUUAAGUAAAAACUAAGGAAAUCUGAAUAAACUACAGACUUUGGUUAAUAAUAAUGUAUCAAUAUUGGUUCAUGAAUUGUAACAAAUGUACCAUGUAAUGUAAGAUGUUAAUAACAGAGAAAGCUGUGGGGAGGCAUAUGGGAACUCACUGUACCAUCUGCUCAAUUUUUCUGUGAAUUUAAACUAUUCUAAAAAAAUAAAAUCUAGU
rnacentral:lncRNA from 1 species